UACGUAGGGUGCGAGCGUUAAUCGGAAUUACUGGGCGUAAAGCGUGCGUAGGCGGUUCGUUAAGUCAGCUGUGAAAGCCCCGGGCUCAACCUGGGAACUGCGGUUGAAACUGGCGAACUAGAAUCUGGCAGAGGGGGGUGGAAUUCCACGUGUAGCAGUGAAAUGCGUAGAGAUGUGGAGGAACACCGAUGGCGAAGGCG
rnacentral:rRNA from 1 species